CCUACGGGAGGCAGCAGUGGGGAAUAUUGGACAAUGGGCGAAAGCCUGAUCCAGCAAUGCCGCGUGAGUGAUGAAGGCCUUCGGGUCGUAAAGCUCUUUUACCAGGGAUGAUAAUGACAGUACCUGGAGAAUAAGCUCCGGCUAACUCCGUGCCAGCAGCCGCGGUAAUACGGAGGGAGCUAGCGUUGUUCGGAAUUACUGGGCGUAAAGAGUACGUAGGCGGUUAUUCAAGUCAGAGGUGAAAGCCCGGGGCUCAACCCCGGAACUGCCUUUGAAACUAGAUAACUAGAGUCUUGGAGAGGUUAGUGGAAUUCCGAGUGUAGAGGUGAAAUUCGUAGAUAUUCGGAAGAGCACCAGUGGCGAAGGCGACUAACUGGACAAGUACUGACGCUGAGGUACGAAAGCGUGGGGAGCAAACAGGAUUAGAUACCCUGGUAGUCCACGCCGUAAACGAUGAUAACUAGUUGUUCGGUCACUUGGUGACUGAGUGACGCAGCUAACGCAUUAAGUUAUCCGCCUGGGGAGUACGGUCGCAAGAUUAAAACUCAAAGGAAUUGACGGCUGAGACGNGCGAGACGACGACGAGGAGAG
rnacentral:rRNA from 1 species